AAUAAAAGAAUGACAAAUUACAUUUUUUCUUCUUGAUUUUCAGCUUUUUUCUCCUGGCAAAAUUUAAAUCAAACUAAAAAUGCUAAAAAUCAAGAGGAAAAAUCUGAUUUGUCAUUUUCUUAUU
rfam:Gossypium arboreum cultivar AKA8401 contig_158_7, whole genome shotgun sequence.